ensembl:snRNA U6 U6 spliceosomal RNA
CUGGCUUCAGUGGCACAUAUAAUAAAAUUGGAGCGACACAGAGAAAAUUAAGUUGGCAUGGCCCCUGGGCCAGUAUAACAUGCAAAUUUGUGAAGCAUUCCAUAUUUUU